GAAAACUCAAUUAAGUCCACGAAAAAAUAAAACUUGGUCGCUAAAUGUGAAAAUUUCAGUGGGAUAUGAAAUGUUUCUCUCUCUCUAGCUAGAAGGUACUAACUCUCUCUCUUCAUUGCCAAAAGACUCCUACUCUCUUUCUUACCCUCUCUUGAAGUAAAAACCCUAAAUCUCAUUGCCUAUAUUCCUAAAUCUCUCAUUCAUCGUCACUCAAAGGUUGAAGUUAUUUCUCGUUGCUCUUCUAAGAGUAAGGUAUAUGAGAAAAUCCCUAAUCUUCAAUCAGAGAGUGUUUGGUUUGUGUUAGCGAUCAAACAGAACAAAGAUGGCAUCGUCCUUCUCCAAAUGGAUCGUCGAUCCGUAGAAGAACCCCCUCGCCGCCAUGCAUAUGAAAACCCUCUCCUCUCACCUCCAUAAUUACGGGCUUAGAUAUGAUGAUUUAUAUGAUCCAAUGUAUGAUUUGGACGUGAAGGAGGCUCUUAAUCGCCUUCCGAGGGAGAUUGUUGAUGCCAAAAACCAGUACCUUCUGUGUGCCAUGGACCUCUUCAUGAAGCACCCGUACCUCCCAGAGGAUCUCCAGAAAACUGCAAGGAUCUGAACUGAAGCCAAGUUUUGAUCUCUAUCACUUUAAAUGAUUUGAGAGGGAUUACUACAAGCAACUAGCUUAUUUGAAGAUUGAAAUUCUUAGGCGUCUUUGUGAUGAUGUGAUUGAAGCAGAGUCUAUACAAUCAACGCUUAACAAAAGAAUUAUGGCAGCAGAGAACACGGAUUUUUAUCAGAAUUUGAAGUCUUGCAGUUUCAAGUAUAGGAGGGUUUCCAUGAAUGUUGUUGCAGGUUCACGUAAAGGUGAGGGGCAGAGUUGUUGGCAACAGAUCUAUACGGUCGGCUGUACUAUGGUUGUUGUGAUUACCUAUUGCUAUUCAUUGACUCCAUUGACUGCACUGAUGGAUGUCGUCCAAGUAAAAUGUAUUUCUUGAGGACGCUCAUUGAGAAAACCUUAAAAGAUCGAGAAGAUUUCCUCGUCGAACCCAAUUUUGUCUCUAAUCUUAUCCCGCCUGACGAGUAUGUUCAUCAAAGUUGCUAUUCUUUCUCAUUUAUUGGCACUACAAUACAUGAGACAUAUCAACCUCGGUGGGACUAUUUAGGAAGGUGGUUUUGUCUUCCUAUUCAAUUGGAAGGUGCUAAGAUACUUUAGGAAGGAUGGGCAUAACUGGAGGAGGAAAGAUGGGAAGACAGUUAAAGAAGCUCAAGAGAAGCUGGAGAUAGGAAAGAGAAGUUCAGAAUUUGUUAUGUGUUUGCACGUUGUAGCAGCGUUAAAUUCUCGAAUAAGAAAGUACAAUGAAGCAAUUCCUCACUUGGAGAGAUCAAUUGAAAUUCCUGACUUGGAUAUGGGACAAAAUCUUUCACUCGCAAAAUUUUCAUGGUUCAUGCACUUAUGUGAUACAUAUCAAUGCUCAGGAAGUUAGAGAAUUCGAUAUUGUGCUAUAUUGACGGCCUGAAAAUUCAAAGAAAAGUUCUCGAAGAGAAACACACGAGAUUUGGCAACACAUGCAGAUUAAACUUGAUACAGAAAAUUCUUUCCAUUCGUGACAAUGGUGGUGGUAUGACUAAGGAGGAUCUUAGAAAGAAUUUGGGAACCAUAGCUAAAUUUGGAAGCUUAAGAGAUUUCUAACAUAACAUUCAACAAAAAUUUGUUUCCUUUGUAGAUUUCUAAAGUUCAAGAGAAAUUUGUUUUCUUUUUAGAUAUCUAAUAUUCAAGAGAAAUUCAUUUCCUUUAUAAAUUUCCAACAUUCAAGAGAAAUUUGUUUCAUGUAUGAAAUAAUACUGAGUGUCUAUGAGUGUAUAUGAGUGUAUACAUAAUAGGCAAUAUAUAUAGUUAAUUAUUUAAUCAUCUUUGUUAUCCUAAAGUUAUAUCGAUAAUAGAAACAGUGAUACAAGAUUUGGCUCUGGUUUAAAUCGUGAUCUGGAUAGCCAGCUGAAACUAUGUCCUCAAGUUUUCUGGUAUUGAUUAUGUCGCAACGUGCAUGAAGAUAAGGUAAUGAAAGAAAGCAAUGAGCAGCAAAGGAAUCAUGUUGGUAGAGCAGAGUGUAGAAAUUUAUGUGAACUAUUAUAGCUAGGAAUGUUGAUUUUGAUUGCGUAAAUAGUGUCAUAACGUUUAUGUCAUGGAUACUUGGCAAUUUGAGAUGUAAAUACAUUAUUAGUUGUAAUAUAUAGAGAAGUUAUCUUUA